rnacentral:rRNA from 1 species
GGAAUCUUGCGCAAUGGACGAAAGUCUGACGCAGCAACGCCGCGUGCGGGAUGAAGGCCUUCGGGCUGUAAACCUCUUUCAGCAGGAACGAAAAUGACGGUACCUGCAGAAGAAGGAGCGGCCAACUACGUGCCAGCAGCCGCGGUGACACGUAGGCUCCAAGCGUUGUCCGGAUUUAUUGGGCGUAAAGAGCUCGUAGGCGGUUGAGUAAGUCGGGUGUGAAAACUCUGGGCUUAACCCGGAGACGCCAUCCGAUACUGCUCUGACUAGAGUUCAGGAGGGGAGUGGGGAAUUCCUAGUGUAGCGGUGAAAUGCGCAGAUAUUAGGAGGAACACCGGUGGCGAAGGCGCCACUCUGGACUGAAACUGACGCUGAGGAGCGAAAGCAUGGGUAGCAAACAGGAUUAGAUACCCUGGUAGUCCAUGCCGUAAACGGUGGGCACUAGGUGUGGGUUCCAACUAACGGGAUCCGCGCCGUCGCUAACGCAUUAAGUGCCCCGCCUGGGGAGUACGGUCGCAAGACUAAAACUCAAAGGAAUUGACGG